rnacentral:tRNA from 1 species
GACCUCGUAGCAUAGUUGGUAGAGCAUUGGACUAGUAUCCCAAAGGUCGCGGGUUCGAUCCCCACCGUGGUCA